rnacentral:rRNA from 1 species
UACGGGGGGUGCGAGCGUUGUCCGGAAUCACUGGGCGUAAAGGGCGCGUAGGUGGCGUGAUAAGGGUGUGGUGAAAGCCCGGGGCUCAACCCCGGGUCUGCCAUGCCGACUGUCAGGCUAGAGUACUGUAGGGGCAGGCGGAAUUCCGGGUGUAGCGGUGGAAUGCGUAGAGAUCCGGAGGAAGACCGGUGGCGAAGGCGGGUAGCUGGGCCGACACUGACGCUGAGGCGCGAAGGCCAGGGGAGCGAACGGG